AAGACUAUACUUUUAGGGACCAUUUCUAUAGUUUGUUACUAGAGAAGUUUCUCUGAAUGUGUAGAGUACCCAAAACCACGAGGAGGGGGCGUUGCAUUCUCUCCUGAGCAUGAAGCCAGCUCUGACUGUUGCUUCUGCACCUCCCUUUUGCCAUUGUUGACUGUUCUCUUCCUUUGGGAGAGCAAGAGGGAAAACAAACAAAAG
rnacentral:snoRNA from 14 species